rnacentral:rRNA from 1 species
GACGAACGCUGGCGGCGUGCUUAACACAUGCAAGUCGAACGGAAAGGCCCUGCUUUUGUGGGGUGCUCGAGUGGCGAACGGGUGAGUAACACGUGAGUAACCUGCCCUUGACUUUGGGAUAACUUCAGGAAACUGGGGCUAAUACCGGAUAGGAGCUCCUGCUGCAUGGUGGGGGUUGGAAAGUUUCGGCGGUUGGGGAUGGACUCGCGGCUUAUCAGCUUGUUGGUGGGGUAGUGGCUUACCAAGGCUUUGACGGGUAGCCGGCCUGAGAGGGUGACCGGCCACAUUGGGACUGAGAUACGGCCCAGACUCCAACGGGAGGCAGCAGUGGGGAAUAUUGCCCAAUGGGCGGAAGCCUGAUGCAGCAACGCCGCGUGCGGGAUGACGGCCUUCGGGUUGUAAACCGCUUUCGCCUGUGACGAAGCGUGAGUGACGGUAAUGGGUAAAGAAGCACCGGCUAACUACGUG